GCUGCAAGCCAGGGGGGUAAAUAUGCUUUUCACAUAGUUCCAAUUCAAGACAAACUCAAAACUACUCCUUUGCAACAAAGUAAUGAAGUAUUCAGUGGCAUGCCUAAGGCAAUGUGCCAAAAGUGUGGAGCAGCCAUUCCACUGCAACUCCCGAUGGAACACUUGAAGUCUUGCAACAUCGUUGAUGUUGACAAUGAUGAAGACAACCUGGCUAAUGUGGAGGAUAACAGUGAGCAGGCACCAGUUCAGGAGCAUUCUCCUAUCUGCAUGGAAAUGUUUACCGCUGAAUUCAUUGAAGUACAUGCUGCUUUGUGUGGAGAAAGGAAAUGAGGUGUUGGAUAGGAGUACUGUUGAAGAGCAAGCAGCAAUGCCUGGAUCGUCCAGUAAUGAAACCGUUACAGAUGGUGGCUCAUGGUACAAGACCCUACCAAGGCCAUGUCACCGUUUCGGGAUUCUGUUUUCUUAGCAAUCAUGAAAGUGAUGCAGCCAUUGGAGAGGGUGUGAGUCGCUUUUUCCUCUCAACUUGCAUGGACAAGCUAAAGUCUGGGUUUUGCAUCAACUUUGGUAUAUUGACUGUAGCUAUGUGUAAGCUGACUUGUCAAUAGCAAAUAUUAAGUUAUUAAAGUCUUGUGUUUAAAAGUUUUUUCUUUUACACAUACUGUAAUUCUGUUAUCUUUUUAUAUUUGUUUGUUUGCUGGACCCUGGUACUUUU